rnacentral:rRNA from 1 species
GACGAACGCUGGCGGCGUGCCUAAUACAUGCAAGUAGAACGCAGUUGCGAACGGGUGAGUAAAGCGUAGGUAACUGCCUGGAAGAGGGGGAUAACUAUUGGAAACGAUAGCUAAUACCGCAUACUACCAGAUGGGCCUGCGUUGUAUUAGCUAGUUGGUGAGGUAAGGGCUCACCAAGGCAGAGAUAACUAGCCGACCUGAGACGGUGAUCGGCCACACUGGGACUGAGACAAGGCCCAGACUCCUACGGGAGGCAGCAGUAGGGAAGCUUCGGCAAUGGGGGGAACCCUGACCGAGCAACGCCGCGUGAGUGAAGAAGGGUUUCGGAUCGUAAAGCUCUGUUGUUAAGGAAGCGGUACUUAACCAGAAAGGGACGGCUAACUACGUGCCAGCCGCCGCGGUAAUAC